rnacentral:rRNA from 1 species
UACAGAGGUCUCAAGCGUUGUUCGGAUUCAUUGGGCGUAAAGGGUGCGUAGGCGGCGCGGUAAGUCGGGUGUGAAAUCUUGGAGCUUAACUCCGAAACUGCAUUCGAUACUGCCGUGCUUGAGGACUGGAGAGGAGACUGGAAUUCCUGGUGUAGCGGUGAAAUGCGCAGAUAUCAGGAAGAACACCCGUGGCUAAGGCGGCUCUCUAGUACGGUACUGACGCUGAGACGCGAAAGCGUGGGGAGCAAACAGG